rnacentral:rRNA from 1 species
GCUGUCACCCGGGGAGGGGUGCGUAACGCGUAUGCAACCGACCUGCUACUGAGGGAUAAACGGGGAAACUUGGGUUACUACCCCGUAUAGUCGCCCCGUCACAUGACUGGSCGAUGAAGCGHACGCGGUAGCAGAUGGGCAUGCUUCCGAUUAGUUCGUUGGUAGGGUAACGGCCUACAUGGCCACUAUCGGUAGGGGAACUGAGAGGUUGGUCCCCCACCCUGGCACUGAGACACGGCCAUACUCCUACGGGAGGAAGUAGUAGGGAAUAUUGGGCAAUGGUCGCAAGACUGACCAGGCUCGCCGCGUGCAGGACGGAGGCGCUGUGCGUUGUAAACUGCUUUUGUCGCGAAAAAAAUAGCGGUGCGCCGCUGCUUGACGGUUCGUUACGAACAAGCAUCGGCUAACUCCGUCCAGCACCUCGGCAAUACGGAGGAUGCGAGCGUUAUCCGGAUUCAUUGGGUUUAAAGGUGCGUACGUGCUGUUGCAAGUCGGCGUCUAAAAUUCGGCAUCUCAACUGUCGGCGUGCCUAUAAUACUGCGACGCUUGAGUACCUGCAAGGUGGGUGGAAUUGGUAGUGUACCGCUGAAUGCGUAACAUAUUACCAGGAACUCCGAUUGUCCAUG